GUUUGACUUUUCUAGCUUUUAGUCACUCUGUCACAAAGAUCUUUUGUGUGCAUCAUUGGGUUUACCGUAGCAUAUUUGUUUUACACUAUUUUGCUGCUUCAUGUCUCUGUUUUUUAUUUAGAUUCUUGUACAUCAUUUAGGCAUGGAUGGAAGUUAGUCUUCUCUUACUUUUUUUUUUUGGUCCUUAAAUUUUUUAAUAUCAGACUGGGAAAUUACUCAAAGAGUCUGACAAGGAGGCUGGUCACAAAAAAGGCAUAACAUCACUUUCAAAAUCCAAUGAUGCGACGCAUUUCAUCAGUGGUUCUCUUGAUAAGUCAGCUAAAGUAUACUUCUUUGUCAUCUUUGGUUUCUUUUUUCUUUUCUCUUUCUUUUGGAUGAUCCCCUUCUCUUCCUUUUCCCUCUACCAUCUGUAGUUAUUAUUUCUUUUUUGUCUUAUUUGUUUGUUGUUAAUCUUUUUCGUUAGCUGUGGAUAUGAGAACAUUGACACUUCUGAAGACCUAUACAACUGAACGUCCUGUGAAUGCAGUUGCAAUGUCUCCGCUUCUUGAUCAUGUAUGUACUGGUGGAACAUCUGUAAUUGCUUUUUACACUCAUCUGUAAUUGCUUUUUACACUCAUCUGUAAUUGUUUUUUACAUUUAUUGAUGCACUAAGUAAGUUUGCUUCUUGGUUGUUCUGUGGAUAGAGUAUUUGUAGGUAAGAUGGAUCAAAUAGCAUUUAUUGAUUAACAAAAUGUGCAGAAGGUCUUUAUGUAUAUCAGCUUACUUUCGUACUUAUGUGUUCUUUAUUGAGUUGGUGCAUCUUUUAAAUGGUUUCUUGUCAACUUUUCUUGAAAUUUUUGAUUGGAAAUUCAGUAGCACAAUUUAUUAGCCAUUCCUUGUGUACUUUCUGAUGUUAGAUCAUCAGUAUUGCAAUUCAUCCAUCAGGUGUUUAUUUUUAGUUUCCUUAUGCUGCCAAUGUGACUGAUUUAUGGUAAUUUUUUAUUAUAAUGAUAGUAAGUAGUGUCUUGAUUCUUGCAUUGGAAUUUGAUGAUGUUUGGUCAUAUAUUUCAUAGCUGAUGAAAUCUUUAAUUGGUGGGUUUUUUAGAUAUAAUAUAAUAAGUCUGGGUGUCAGUGAAUUCAUUUCGGUUUUGGUUUUCCUUUCUAUAACUUCUAUAUAAUUUUGUGAUGAGCAGACAAAUUUUUUAAUUUAAAGAACCAGUAUACAUCCCUUGGUAUCUUUGGGGUUAAUCACCUCUAGCCAAUUCGUUGAGGGAAUGACGCUUUAGCUGUGGUCAAUGUGGUUACGAGAUUGAUUGAAUGAAUUUUACAGAAAUUCCAAACUGCUUAACUAUUUAGACGUGUUCCAUUGAGGAACCAUAUCAUAACAUGUGCCUGCUCUGUUAGUUUGGAUGGGAAUUGUUUAUUUACAUGUCUUGGAAGUUGAAAUUGCCAGAAACAAGAAGCUCACUUUCUCUGAUGGUCAUAUUUCUUCAUCAGGUUGACCAUUGCCAAAUAGAAGAGCUUAGCCACAAGACAUCUCAUAGCAAUAGCACGUCUUAUUGUUGAAAAUUUUGAUUUUAUGGUAGUGUUUGUAGGUUGAGUUAUGACCCAUGAUUUAUGCUCAGGCCCUUAAAAUGGAGAUAUAUAGUGAAGAAAAGUAUAAAAGAUCGGGGUGGCUUCAACAUUUACCUUCAACUAAUUUUCCUUGUGUUUUUCCUUUUUGAAUUCAGCUUUGUGGAAAUUAUGGCUCCUGUUUUCUCGCGGGAUGCUUGGCGAUGUGUUUGGCAUACGAUUCAGGUUCCCUUCUCUAACUUUGUCUUUUGUAUACGUAUGUUUUAAGCCUUGUUGUACCUCCAACUAUUUUUGCUUUUAGCUGCUCUCAUUAGCCUUGGUUCUUUCCAGCUUAGAGCUCACACUGAUUUUUUACUUUCAAUAACAUUCCUAGAAUGAUUUGGUGCAUGGUUGGGGAUUGGAUUUUGCGCUAAGGAGAUGUGUGGAGGUCAGUGGUUUUAUUUGUUUCUUAUCACAAUAUUAUUUGAAAGAUUUAGAAAAGAAGGCUUGUCUACCUGCUUUUCAUAUUCCUGUUGGAAGGAGAGAUCUGCGGGCAGUGGCAUGUAAAACAGAUAAAAUUAGAAAACAUGUAUUUAUUUCAAAUGGAUGUCUGCGUAUUAUCAGUUUCAUUGUAAGUGUAUUUUGCCUGUGUAGCCUGCACAUGAGAAAAUUGAUGUGGUUGACUCUCAGUGGAUAGUUCAUCAAGUUAUUCCUUCUCUGGGAAGUCAGGUCAGUUAACUACUUUAUUACAACCAUCGGGACUUGCUUUUCCUUUUCCUAGAGGUGAUUAAAAUAAUGAAGUUUAGUUGUUUGCAAAUGUUGUUCUGUUCAACUUUAAUUUCCAUUUUUGAGCAAAUGGUUCUUCAUUUAUAAUAUAAGCAACUUUUUAGCAGCAACCCCCUUAUUUACAUUUUUUUCUUCCACGUCAAUUAUCCUACUUGUCCCUUGAUCUGGUUUCCCCUCAUUUAGAUUUGUUUUGUUGAUAAUGAUGCUAACAGCUUCAGCUUCGUUGAUUCCAGGGUCAAUCUGAAAAUGGAAAAGCUCCUUGGCAAGGGGUAUGUAAGCUGUUACUUGUUCGGUUUCCAUUUCAACCUUUCUGUAUAUUUUUUUAUUGAGGCCUUUUCUUUGUCCUUCGUUUUUUUUGCAAAAGUCAACUCUGAAAGCUUCUUCAUCCAAUUUUAUGGUAAUCUGAGUUAUUCUAUAUCACCUACAUUCUAACAAUCAUGUUUAAAUUAGGAUUCAUAGGUCUUAUAUCUGCACUCUGUUUGAAUUGCAUGAUUUUGCAUUGAACUGAAUUUCAUUAGAUUUGUCCAAACGUCAAGUAACUAGCUUGAAUUCUUUUCUAUCUAAUUUGGUAGGUAAGAGAGAGGUGCAGAAGUGAGUGGGUGCAGUUUCAAGAUCGCCUAGCCAAUGCAGAUAAGAAAUAUAUUGAACAGUUUGGGAGGACUUUGAAUUAGCUAAUUUCUGGUUAUUACCCGUAACUUUCUUCAUUUUCUUUUGUCCUUUUUCCAUCUUUGUAUCAUUGUACGGAAGGGUGUUUUGGAGCCCAAUUCUCUCACUCGAUGUCUUUAAAAUUUUUUUUUUUUUGCUUCUAGCGGGCGGUAGCUGAACUUCCUGUAGUAGUGAAAACUAACGAUCUGAAACUGGAAGAGAGUGAUCCUUUUUUGUGUAUAAAUAGAUUAGACUUUGCUUCAUUUGACUCCCAUAUUGCCAAUAUUCAUUUCCUUUUCUUUCUUUUUUCUUUUCCUUCUGUUUUUUUUCGCCCUUUUUUCCCUUUUCUAUUUUCUUGAGGCGGGGAGGUGUGGGUGGGAAUCCGUUGGUUGCCUCAUACUGAACUCACCCGCUUACAGUUGUUAUUUGGAGAACCAUCCCCUGUUACCACUUUAUUGAGCUUAUUACCAUCAGCAGUGGGAUUAUAUGAGUUGGAGUACUUACCUACUUUCUGUUUAAUAUUUCACUAUUAAGUUGCGAAUUUGGAGACGGAAUUUCUGUUAUAUGCCAAAUUUCUAAUAUUCUGGGUAUCUCUUUUGCAGGAACGAGGUAUUUGAACAACAGAAAGUUUUGUAUCCUUUUAAGUUUUCUUGCAUUUGGGUAUUGAUACUACUCACCUUUAUUGCUCUGACUCCUACUUCUUUGCACAAGUUCCCUUUGACCUGCAAUGCUUCUUUACUUUUUUUUUCUCUUAACUUCUUGUAGCUCUGAUUGGAAAAGAAAUAUAGAGACAUUGGAGAAAAAUAGUGUAACCAGUCUGAGGACAUUGAUCAAUCUUGGUUCUGAAGUGUACAUGCAAGCUGAUGUUUAUGUCUCUUCAUACCAUAUCAAUGUCAUUUUACUUGGUUGUACAUAGGAUUAGUAUACAUUUGAAGUGUUUAUCAAGAUAUGAAAGAAUUCAUUUCUCUUUUGUUUGAGGUGUGUGUGAUUUAUUAUAACUCUAUAUGUUUGUGUCUGCCUAUGCACUGAAAAAAAAAAGAAAGUAUAUGGUACCUUAGUUGUUCCAAGUAUGUCUUCAGCUAUGGUGAACAAAGUGUUGUAGGUUCUUUGGGCUACGAGCUUGGGUUUUGGUAGUCUCAGUACCAGAUGGAAUCAUGUCAGAUUGAUAUAGGGUGCAAGAGAAGUGUUCUUUACUUGAUGUGAUGGUGCUUACUGUAAACAAAUAUGAGAGAUAAUUGCAGAAACAAGGCAAAAACAAUCAAUUAUGGGGACAGUUCAAAACUUUAACAGCUUACGAAUAAGCGAUCGAACCUGAAUUUAUCUUUCCUGAUUUCCAAUUUUCAACUCUAGAUAUUCCCCAGGCAAUCACGACCUUCAAGCUUCUCAUCAUAACUAUGCGUCUUUAGGAAACAUCUGUUUUUUUGAACUUGAUAAGUGGAGCCGAUCCAUGUAUUCUUAAGGUAGCUAUGUCAAUGAUUGAGUUGGAAUGGAACAAACAAAAGAGAAUGAUUUAUAAUGUCAAUGUAUCCAUGAAUGAUUUAUAAGCCUAUGUGCUUGAUUUAUCAACUCUAGAUAUAUUGAGUGAUUGAGUUGGAUCUAUUACAAUUAUCUAUUGAUUGAAUACCUUGAGCUUUUUGCCAAAAUCUGUCUCAAAACUGAUUUUGAUUUGUAGCUAUGGUACAUUUGCUACUUGAGGUUGUGAUGGUUAUGUUGAUGUGUGGGAUGGAAACAAUAAAAAAAGGCUGUAUCAGUUAUUUUUCCUUAACUGAAUUUGAAAUGUCUUCCGCUCCAUGACGACAUUUGUCAGUUUUUUAUCAUACUUGUUAUAUUUGUCAAAACAAGGGUUCUUUUUUUUUUUUUUGUUUUUUGCCUCUGAAUUUGAGAUUAUGAUUUCUUUGUUAUACUAACUUAUUCUAUUGUUCGUGGAAAUUUAUUACUUUAGCUCAUUUUUCUGAAAGUGAUCAAUUGGAAUGCUAAAGCAAGAUGAAUUGUAUUAGAGACUUCUUUUUGUUUCAGACUUUGACAAAUGCUGUUUUAUAUCCUGUAAAUGAUGUUCUUCUGUGUUUGGUUCUUUCUGCGAGAUGUUACUUUUGCUUCGGUGUGUUGUGUAUAAAGGCAUCUUCAUAAGUUACUUGUGUGAGUGCUGUUUUGAAUGAUUACACUUAUUCUUCUUGAAUGAUUUUGAAUGCUUUUGACUGAAUAAAUAGUGUGUGCAGACUAGGAAUUCAUUGGUUAUUUUGAAUGAUUUUGAAUGCUUCUAAUUUUUUGCUGCAGAAUUCUGAACUGACUGCUCAUGUGGCCAAGCAGUAAAGAGGAAGGAAUCUGCUGUCCUAUGUUAGGCAUUGUCGUUUGAUUAUGAGUGCAGUUUCAUUGGAUGUUUUUUAGUUAAUGUGUAUUAUGUAGUUAUAGUUGUUAGAGGACUCAAGCACAGAAAUUCUGUAAUAGCUAGGUUGUUGCCAUUUCAGUUUGUUGCCAUUCUGUAAUAGCUAGGUAUGUAUUGAUCAUAUAAUUUCUGAAGCAUUCUUGAUGGGAGAAAAAGACUUUGGGGUAAAGAAUCAAGAAAUCAUAUAGAGAACAAAGUUGAAAUUAAUGUAAGGCGAGACCACACAGCUUUCCUAAGAUUGAUACAGCUUUCCUAAGAUUGAUUCUAUGAAUCAGUUCUCCAUCGUAUUGUCUCAUCUAUGAAUCCAUUCCUAAAACAUGACUGGACUACAUUCAAUUGCUUCUAUCAAUUUUAUCUAUCAAAGUACAAGUACAAGCUGGUAUAGUUUUGCAUUCUCUAACCUUGUUAACUCUCUUUCUUUUGUACAUAUGUGUAUUUACUUAUCACAAUUUUUUUUCAUACAUUUAUAGGAUAUGCCAGAAUUUGCGAAUCUAAGGCUAAAUGAAGAAAGUACGACUAUAACUCUUACAAAUGGUCAUAAAUAUUAUCGUGUUGGUAUGACCGGCAGAUGUUUUGAUCAAAACUGGAACCGUUUUGUUAUUGAUCAUGAUCUAAAAAAUGGCCAGAUAUUGCUUUUUAUUCCACAAUCCAAGACUCCCUUUGCUGUGCUGGUGCUUGACCGCAAAGGAAUAGAGAAGUUGUUUCCAUGGCAGUUUGCAUUUUCCAUUUGAUGGCACAUCUGAUUUACGCUGAUUCUGCUUCAACGCAAUGCACGGCAUUUGUUGUAUUUAUGUUCUUAAUGGAAAAAAGUUCUGGUUAGAAAAAUGCUUCCAAAGCACUACAAAUUUAAUGUUUAGCAAGUUCCUACUGUUGUUUAACGAUUGAAGCUUUCAUAAUGGAUGUUCCAACGGCAUUACAUAUUAAACAUUGAUGUUUAGCAAUAAAGUUGAUCCUACCUUUGGUUACAAAAAACAAAUGGCUGGUAUAUAUUAAAUUUAGAAAAAUGCUCCAUUAUAUUUGCAUUAACAAAACUUCAGAGUUUGGAAGUUCCUAUUAAAAAUUUAGAAAUUUAAAUUUGCAUUUCAGACUUUGGAAGUUUAGCAAAGUUUAGCAAAUUUAGAAAUUCAGGCUUUGGAAGUUCCAAAGCACUUCCAUUAAAUUUAGAAAUUUAACAAUAUCUAUGAAAGUUCGUAGCCAAGAAAUAUCAACAAACCUUUAGACUCAUGGUAUAUAUAUACUAAAAAAUGUACAUUUCUAAAUAAAAUGUUAUUUUUAUUACUUCAGAAAUGGAAUGGGCAUUUUACAUUACUAUCGCGCGAAGCGCGUUAUUGCCUCCUAGUCUUAAUGAACGCGAGUAAUAAUUAUCAACUGAAGAACUGGGCGUGGUUGUUGUCCUAUUGGACGCGGGAGGAGGAACAGUAGUGUAAAACAUGUUCCUGUGUGUGUGGACUUGAUCACCAUCAGUGAUUUCCGUAACCUUUUUAUCAGCCGCAUCGACACUUUCCAUCUUCAAUGGUACAGUCCCCCUGUGUCCCUAAACCACAAAUCUUCUUCAUUGAAUGUGGUUUCACGGUCAACCUUUCGGCCACCAAAUCACCAACAAAUUCUUUCGUGGGAGCAUGCUCUGUUGAGAAGUUUAUCAUCUGAAUUUGUCUUAGAAUCUUUUGUACAUGUUUAUAAAUAAUCUUUGUAUAGCAUGAUUCGGACCAUACAAAAUCAAAUUUUAUGCCAUGACAGGACCGAAAACGUAUCGCUUGUACAAACUAAACAAGCACUUGCUAUUUUUUUUCAAAAAAAUUUUUCCUAAUAGGAAGGGAUGAGAUUUAAGAUACAAAAAUAAGAAAGAAAGAUCUCAGGGAGAUUCUGACCUCAAUCCAUUUCAAAGCGAUAGCUUCUUCUUCUUCUCCCUUUUUUUUUUUUGGAGGGGGAUGUUUUUAUAUGCUAACUGAAUACAAUUAAGCACACGUUUACUAUCUUUAUUUCUAAGUGAGAACUAAGCGGGUGGUUAUUACUAAUGCUCAAUUCAAAAAUAAAAUAAUAAAGCGCAAUACCCAAUAUUCAGGUAGAGAUGGCAAUGGGUAGGGUAAAAUUUGAUACUUGUCCGAUGAUUAAUUCGAUUAGACGAUCGAUGGGUAAUCCGUUAGGAUUUGAUAUUGAUGAGAGGUUUUCGAUGGAUAAUCCGAUAGAGUUUGAUAAGAGAACCCUAAAAACCUGAAACUCGACAUAAAUACACGCACAUAUAGUAGCAAUCUUUUCUACACAGACACUUAAUGAUCUUUUAUAUUAAUAGCUUUGAAUGUAUGCAGUGAUUUUUUUUUUUAACACUAACAUCAUGCGACCCGCUGCCAUCCCAGGCUUCAACUGAGCGAUUCCGCACAAAAGCACAAAUGAUGCAAUAGCAGUGUCUCUCAAGAAACAACAGAAUAUCUCUAAGCCUGAUGAUCUUUUUUACGCUUGAUUGAGCUAAUAUGAUGAAGGCAAGGCUGCAUUCUGUAGCAGGUCAUCUGAAUAGAAGAGGUCAACAGGAUGUCUUUCAGCUGAAUUUAAAGAUAACCCAACUAGCCAAAAGAGGUGACAUUGAUGAGGCCGUCAGAGUAUUCAACGCAAUAGCACAGCCCAACGCUGUCACUUACAACUCGAUGAUCUCCGCCUAUGCUAAGAAUGGAAGAUUCAGUGAGGCUUGUGCUCUAUUUAAUCGAAUGCCAUUUAAGAACUUGAUUUCCUGGAACACAAUGAUGAGCGGUUACUUGUAUAAUGACUAUUUUAAAGAAGUAGCUGAAUUAUUUGAUAAAAUGCGUCGAAGGGACUCUUUUACUUACAGUCUCAUGAUUACUUGUUAUGCACGUAGUGGUUUCGUAGAAAAAGCAAGACGAGUAUUUGAUUCGAUGCCCGAUAAGAGUUGUGCAGCGUGUUGGAAUGCACUGAUUACAGGGUAUGUCAAGAAUGGGAUGCUCAGCGAUGGUAGGAAAUUGUUCAAUGAAAUGCCAGUGAGGAACUUGGUUUCGUGGAAUACAAUGCUCUCGGGAUAUACCCGUAGCGGGCAAAUGUGUUUGGCUGCUAAGUUUUUUGAAGAGAUGGAAGAAAAGGAUUGGAUUUCGUGGAAUUUGGUAUUAGAAGGGUACACGCAAGCUGGUGAUUUGAAUGCUGCUAGGGAGUUUUUUGAAAGGAUUCCCAAUCCAAGUGUUGUUUCUUGGGCCACAAUGUUGAGUGGCUUGGCAAGGCAUGGCCACCUUUCAGAGGCAGAGGGAUUCUUUAACAACAUGACGGAGAGAAAUGUUGUUGCUUGGAAUGCGACGUUGGCUGCAUGCAUUCAGAAUUGCAAGGUUGACAAGGCAGUAGAAUUAUUUAAUGAGAUGCCAGAGAAGGAUGCUAUAUCAUGGACUACCAUCAUCAGUGGUCAUGUCCGAAUUGGUCAGCUUGAAGAAGCAAAGAAAUUGUUCGAUACAAUGCCUUAUGAAAAUGUAGGGUCACAAACAGCCAUGAUGCUUGGCUUUAUUCAGAACAAUAGGAUCGAUGACGCCCGUCAAAUUUUUGAUCGCAUGAGGAAACGUGACACUGUCUGUUGGAACACGAUGAUUGCGGGAUAUGCUCAACAUGGAAGAAUGGAUGAAGCUUUCUAUCUAUUUCAAAAUAUGGCCCCAAAGAAAAUAGAUACUUGGAACACCAUGAUUACGGGCUAUGCUCAAGUAGGAAAAAUGGAGAGAGCACUUGAGAUGUUUGAGCAAAUUGGGGAAAAGAAUAUAAUUUCUUGGAAUUCCGUAAUUUCAGGUUAUGCACAAAAUGGGUUAUACAUGGAUGCACUGAAGAAUAUUUUGCUCGUGAUUCGUGAUGGAAAGAAGCCUGAUCAAUCUACUUUUGCUUCUGGCCUAAGGGUCUGUGCUAGUCUUGCAGCUGAGCAAUUUGGGCGGCAACUUCAUCACAUUGUGGUGAAAAAUGGUUAUAUGAAAGAUAUGGUUGUCAGUAAUGCUCUAAUUACGAUGUAUGCCAAGUGUGGAAGUAUCUUGAGUGCCAGAGAUGUAUUCAGUGAUGUUGAUAACCUUGACGUGGUAUCCUGGAAUUCUUUGAUAGCAGGCUAUGCUCUAAAUGGAUAUGGGAUAGAGGCAUGCAAACUUUUCCAAGAAAUGGAAGGAUAUGCUGUCAUUCCCGAUCAAGUUACUUUUGUUGGGGUUCUUUCUGCAUGUAAUCAUGCAGGCUUAGUUUCUGCAGGUCUAACCUUGUUCAGUUGCAUGACGCAGAAGUAUGGCAUUGAACCUUUGGCUGAACAUUAUACUUGCAUGGUCGAUGUGCUUGGCAGAGCAGGAAGGUUAGAGGAAGCCUUUGAGUUAAUCAGGAAAAUGAAGGUCCAAGCCACUGCAGGAAUAUGGGGUGCUCUUCUUGGGGCUUGUCGCUUGCAUAAAAAUGUGAUGCUUGCUGAUUUUGCUGCUAGGAAGCUUUUUGAAAUUGAACCUCAUAAAACAUCAAGUCUAGUGCUUCUCUCAAAUAUUUAUGCUCAGUCAGGGAGGUGGGAUGAGGUCGAUAGAGUUAGAAAUUUCUUGAAUCAGAAUGGCAUUGAAAAGGAGCCGGGAUGCAGCUGGAUUGAGGAUCAACGCCAGAUAUUGGUUUUUCAAUCUGAUAAUUAUUCAGGCCAAAAACAGCAGAGAUAUAUAGGGCAUUACAGAUUUUAACAACACAGAUUAUGGAGCUUUCCUGUUUAAAUAGUAUUGAGUGUGCUCUUCUUGAUGUUGGAUGAUUUAUUUCAUCACAUGCAUCAAAUAAAGUUUUAGCGGUACUUCAAAAUGCCCUUCUGCAAAUUCACUUGUUCAGGUUCUUUUUGGUACUCGUUGAGAAUUAUCUUGGCUUUGCAUGCAUGAAGAUGAUAUUGGUACUUGCUUAGGUAUUGUUCUAAUAAUCUUGCACUUACUAUUUGGAAGAUAUUUGGUGCUAAUAUCCAAUACUGGGGAUGUUAUAUUGCAAGAAACUCUUGAAUGCUACUGCUUAAACUUCAACUGCAGAAAAAGCAGUAGGCUUCAGAAAAUAGUUGACAGCCCCCACCUCCUUGCCACUUCCUCGUUUUCUUCUCCUGAAAUCCUCUUUUCAUGCAGUGAAGUAUUUUCAUAAUUUAUAUUUGUUUCCCUUUAUUUAAAAAAAAAUUGUUUCCCUUUUGCGUUCAUUGUCUGUUAAAAUUUCUUGCUGAUUUUAAUUGUGUAGAUAGAACUGCCAGAUAGAUUUAAUAAUGGAGCAAAGCUUCUGGUGAAUUUAGAUCUGAAUAUGUUUCUCGUCUUUGUGACUCUUAUAGUAUUUUUAAGUUCUUCAUCUAGAGCACAAAUAGAUGUACAUAUUAAAUGAGAUGAAGCAGUUCGGAGAUGCUUAGAUUACUUUCAAAUUUUAAAAUUUAACUACGUGGUGACCCAUUUCUUGUCUCAUGAAUGUAGAUCCUACAUGUGAGUAGAGUUGUAUGGUACCAUCUGAGGAUGAUCCUGUCAUGAGCUAAUUCAGAAGUUUGGUACACAGGAAAUUUAACAUCUGUAAGUGCUGUAAAUUCCACGUUUACUUGCACUUUUUCCAUCUCCAUAUAUAUUUUAACUGCUUUUAGUUUCGAUAACUCAUACUAUCAUAAACCUAUCUAUGAAAAUGAUACUAAAAUAGAACAAGCUCCCAAUAAGCCACAAAUACUACAAUAGGUUACCUGUUUACAUCACAUAAUUGAUAUUCCAUUUACAUCUGAAGACAAAUUAGGAAAGGAGCCUACAUUUGAUUUCUUAUUUGUAUUGCAUUUUCUUGAAACAGGACACAUAUUCAACACGAAUUAUUAUUCUGAUGGAGCUAGUCACAAACUCUAAAUUGACGAGUGACUAAUGAGGCUAUCAAAAUCAACCUGCCGCUAGAUCUCGACCCCAUAUGCACGAACAGACAAAUAUAAGACACGUGAAGCAAAAGAUAAGAGUGUGUAGAACAUGGUGAAUGUCAGAUUAAAUGUAAGACAUGUGAAGCCCUGUUUCUCAGGGCUUGGUAAAGCUCUGUAUCUUUAAAGGACUUUGCAAUAUGAAGUUCUUCAUGUUCAUUUUGUAUUAUAAUAGCAUUAUUGUUUGAAACUUUCCUUUUGGGAAAUUAUGCAGGAGAAAUUCCUGUUUAGAGAGCCGCUUAAUACAAGAAUAUUGUAAUCUUUCAGGUACCAAAAACUCUUUGAUUAGUAGUUACGCCUUUAGGUCACUUCCUAUUGACAUAACAAUUCAGCGUAAUUAUGAAAUAUGAACUCUUUUGUUCAGUCUUGACACAAAUGUCAACUUCUAAAUGUGUAUGUCUGGAUAGUAAUUCAACUACCUGAUGUAAAUGAAUGCAUUUAUUAAGAAUGACUUGUGGUAUUUCUAUGUAUGAUAGUUAUCUUAGUUAAAAGGUGCUCCACUUUGAAGUUGAUUACCUUCUGUAAUAUUACUAAUACUAUCGACUUCUUCUGCGUGUCUAGAAUUUUUUUUAAUGCAAAUUUAUUGAUAGAUGUUUACAUAAGGAAGUAACAUAUCAUUCUGAUGAAAUGGGAGGGAAGACUAGUGUGAGAAGGUUGUUCUUUGACCUUCUUAACACUCUACUAUUAACUGUGUAUACGUAGUAUUUGAUCUUCGCAACGUUAUAGUUUUGCCAUAGUUUUCAUUUUAGUACAAGAAACUCGAUGAUUCUACUAUGUCAACAACAAAAAUUUGUGUGCACACUUUCUUAUUGCAGUUCUGGUGAAUUAAUGUUGGCAAUAGGUCAGAUUUUGUUGUUUGAGUUUUUCAAUGACUACCUGAGACUCGGCAGAAAUUUGAUGACCUGAGUAUGGUGUUUAUGAUCAACUGGUAUUGCAGUUCAAUAUGUAUAUCUCUUUCGGCUCUUGGCUCUGAUCAUCUCUCCCCAGAUCAUGCAAAUUAGUGACAGUAAUUGAGUUGCAAUUAGUUUUUCUUAUCUUUUCCUGAAUGCUUCUCAACUUCCACUGGGAACAUCAUUGCCAACUUGCCAAUUUCCAUUCUGCAUUCAGUUAGAGAGCAGAUCACAUGAUGCUAUACUGUGCCAGGAGGCUUUGGAUUGCUAACUGAAGUUCAUCAGAUAUGAUCCAUAGUGGUGUGCAAGAUGAUGCAAACUAUCAAAUUUAACUAGACAUCCAUGUGAAGAGGUGGAGACAUAAUGUACAAAAGAGAUCAAAAGAAAAACAAUCUAGAUUUAUGUAUGUUUCUAGUUGUGAGCAAUGAGAAUAAUGUCAUCGUCAAUAUAGUUUUGUAGUUAGGCAUCCUUCAAGAAUGUGGAUGUUUGAAUGUUGGCACUGAGAAGCUAUUCUAGUUUGGCCUACUACAUUAACAAUUUCAUAUUUCUUAAAAAUCUGAGUUUUACAUGGCAUAUAUAACAUAUAAAACAUUAUAUUUUUGAAAUUUCUUUUGCUUCAUUGAUUAGGAUGAUUUGAAGCAAAUUAUAAUGAUCAAGAGAUAUAUGAAUCUUCAUUAUCAUUGGACUUCUCUAUUGGCACUGGCUAACCAAAAUUACUGAAACUGUUUUAAUCAAGUACACAAAUGUGUUUGUACUUCAUAAAGAACGAAAAGUGUUGACAACAGCAUAACAGAUAUAUAAAAUGUUCUGCUUGUAGUUCUCUGAGCAUGAUAUAUAGUUGUAAUUUCUGGGUACUGAAAAUUUGUGUAUCUUACCCAUCAAUGCAAAGUUUGCUACUUAGCUUAUUUCUUGCUUGGUUGAAAGUUUUCAUUUCUCCUGAAUGAACUGUCUCACUUCCUUGACAAUUAGUGCAGACUCAGGCAGCUCUGGAAAGUUAUAGAAACCAUGAAUACCAUUAGGAUAUUCAACCAACCAAACUUCCUUUCCACACCUCCUCAACCCCACACAAUACCUUUUCUGCCAAUCCUGCAGUGGAUCAAACCCUGCAACAAAUACCAGCGAGCUUGGAAAAUCCUCUGGCACUGUGUCUGCUGCUUUAAAAUUUGGUCCAUCUCUGAAAACAUUGGCUGCUUUAUGGUUUCUAUCAGCACCUUCGGGCAAGAAAUUCCUCCACAUCCUGUCUGUGCUCUCGAUAUUGAGGAAAGGCACUCUUGUGAGCCUCAGUUCUGAUGCGGUGCGCUCUUCUCCACCAAAAAGUGGUUGCAUGGCUAGCAGCCCAACAAUCUUUAUUUUCUUAAACUGGUGAGAGUCUUUGCAGGCCCUGUGUGUUACAUGGUGGGCUAUGUUUCCUCCAGCACUGUCUCCGGCUAUGAAGCAUUUGCUCAGGUCAGUUUUGGAGGGCAAAACAGCAUAAUUUUGUGCUUCUAUAUACUUGAGGGUGUCAAAACCAUCAUCAUAAGCACAAGGGAAUCGGUGUUCUGGGGCAAGGCGAUAGUUAACAGAUACAAUGGUUGCGGGAAUCUGAGCUGCUAGGUUGCAACAGAGAGCGUCAAAGCUCCUGGAGUCCGGACCAAAAUAUGUGAAUCCACCUCCAUGGAAAUAGACAAUGAGUGGCAAUAAUGUUUCAGCUGAGGAUUUGGUGUCUGGGACGAAGAGGCGGAACCAGAGGUUGCGAGAGGGGUCGACGGAGAUGUCAGAGGAGGAGACAGGUACGUCAUUGAAGACUUUGGUAGUGGGAGCUAUAACUUUUUGGUCGAGGAGGCUGAAGAGAUGGCGGUUGAUGGUGCCAUCAGAGCGGACACAUAAUUUUGCAGCAAAAGUGCCGAUGGAGAUUUGGAGUCUGGUCUUAAAGGGGAGAUGCGGUUCCAUUGCUGUGGUUUUGGCGUCCUGGUAUGGUAUGUGACCUAUAUAAGCCUCAAUUUGGUAGUAUGUUUGUGAGACUCAGAUGGGCUUUUAUUGCUUCAUGGUGAACGUUAUUUGCUAAGCAGACUAGCAAUGAAGAAGCCAACAGAAAGAACGUUAUUAAAUCCUGCCGGACAUCAGAUGCCAACCUAAAUUACUAAAAGUUGAAUCAUUGGAAUGGAAACAAUAAAGGAAGUAAAGAACUCUAAUUGUAUUUGUUGCAUCUGGAUGGACAGUGCGGCUGCAAAUAAUUGAAAAGAAUCCAACUCUUGUUGUUUACUUAUUGGAAGUUGGAACUCUAGUAGUAAUUCCAACUUGAAAAAUGACAUUGCACGUCUCGUUAUAAUUUUGACAUUGCAUGUCCGUACGCCCGUCGUUUGUUUCCUUUCCUCUGCUUUUCCGUGAAUCUUUGAUUGUGUACAGAUUCCCUGUUUAUACCGCGACACGAGUUCAAGCAAUGGCUCACAUUUUAAAUUUGUAGUUCCAUCCUUUCAGGUGGUUUUACCCAGAAAAACACAACCAAAAGAAAGAAAAAAAAACGAAGAUUAUGAUCAGGCAGAAGCUGAAACAUAUUUAAUUUAUGGAGUACUUAGAAAGCACUUCUGUAGCAAUAUCUCAGAGAGAGAAGUGCCGAUCGAAAUAAAGAAACUGAUGUCACAACAACUGAAUUGGCUCUUAUUCAUCACAUAAAGGGAAUAUAUAUCUUAUGAACUGAUUGAGUUCCAGCUCUUCCUAAUGAUUGGUGCGUCUGUAGGGUACUUUGACGCACUCCGUAAUCAAGAAUUUGCGGGCUUGCAGACAUGGUUUUUGCAGUCUAAUGCACAGGCUUCUUCCUUGGCUUCGUCUGCAAAUUAAGAUUGAAAAGCAAUAUUGCAUUGCAGUAUCCGUUAAUUAUACAUAUAUGUAUAUGUUACAACUUGCGGAGGUGAUCAGAGUUUGAACAGGGAAUUAAUUAAUCAAAGAUCCCUACGUACCAUCGUGGAAUUUGGAGCAUUUCUGGAACAUGCAUCCAAGGUUGCAAUAAUGGUGGCCAGCGGGUGGGGGUGGUGGUGCUGGCCGCUGCUGCUUGUGGCCGCCGGCAGCAAAGGAUGGAGAAAGAGAACCACAGUGCUUUGCGCAAUACUUUAAGCACCUCAAAGGACUGAUCCCACUGUGUUUGCAACCCUCCAAGCAACCUUCUAAGCAGCCUCCCUUUUCUAUAUGUGCUUCGGCUCCGCUCAUCAUCAUCAAGCAGCCCCAUAAUAACAAAGCCAUCAUCAUCACCAUCACAGUUACUGCAUGUUUUCCGGUUCCCUCCAUGAUUUUCUUUUUUUCGUCUUGGUAGGUAAUCCUGGAGUAGUCUAUGAUUUCUGACCUGUGUUGGAAUUGGCAUGGCACAUAUAUAUAUACACACAUAUACAGCCAGAGCAAAUUUGUGUGUAGGUGAAUUUUUGCUGUUCAAAAAUCAAAAGUCGUUCACUUAACAUCAUUCACACUAGACGGGUUCCAAAUCUUUCACAAUUUUUGCAUUCAUUACUUACUCAUCUCUAUCGAAUGAUUUGACCUGUCUUGCACUUGCAUCUAGAGGUGCGUUCGAGUCGAGUCGAGCUCGAGUAGUGCAGGUAAAAUAACUAAGCUCGAGAUAAAGAUCGAGAUCGAGCUCGUCGAGUUUUUCGAAUUCGACAUCAAUUUACGUUACUCGAGCUCGAACUCGAGUUCGAGUUUAAUUAAAUCUAAUCAAUUCAAAUCAAGUUCAAUCGAACCUAUUCGAGUUCAAUCAAGCCUAAUCAAUUUCACGUAAUAAAAAUUAAUAUUUUACAUAUAAUUUUAAAUAAAGAAUAUUAUUGACAUUUCACAAGAAUACAAAUUAAAAUAUAUAUUAUAAAAAGCUCGAUUAGGCUCGUCGAGCUUUCGAGUGCAAAAUAUUGAAGCUCGAGCUCAACUCACUACUUCUAUCUGCUUCACAUCAUGCAUCGUUUAGUCGUCAAUGAAUCAAAGAUUAUGACUAAAUAAUCUUAAUUAGGUAACUACUUCCAACUAAUAAUGCUGUAUUUUUUACAAAUUAUCUUUGGGUUUCGUCUGUACUUUUUAGUCUAUCUUGAAAAACAAAACAAAAAUGAUUUGGCUCUCUCUCUCUCUCUCUUUCUCUUUUUUUUCCUAAAUAACUGUUCAUACAAAACACACCUAAUUAAUGUAUCAAGCAUUCACGAAUAACAGAUGUACAAUAGAGUUACAGGCCCAGGCCAGCAGUAAACAAAAGAAGGAUAGGGGCCUACUUUUAUAAUUGGGCUACGGCCCGUUCCACCUUCCUAAAGGCUAAAACAGUAAUACCAGUAAGAGUAGUACAAACGAAUCGGGUCCAAGUCUCUUUCUGUUACCAGAACCAACUAGGGUUUUUGUUUCCUUUGUUCUUCUUCUUCUUCUUUUUUCCUUUGUUAAACCACAGUUUUGUCGUUCACCAAAUCACAAUCAUAAUCUAGUAAGUUUUGCCGUAUACUGAUGAGGCCGAUACUGAUGAAAGGCCAUGAGAGGCCGCUGACAUUUUUGAAGUACAACAGAGACGGCGACCUUCUAUUCUCGUGCGCCAAGGAUCAUACUCCAACCGUCUGGUUCGCCGACAAUGGCGAACGCCUCGGCACUUAUCGUGGCCACAACGGCGCCGUCUGGUGUUGCGAUGUCUCCAGUAAGCCCCCCACCCCUCCCGACCAGCUCCGACCGCCGCAUUGUGUUAUCAAUUCGUGUUCUUUCUAGUUUAAUUAUGAAUUUUGUUUAGGUUUAUAGUGUAAUUGAAAUCAUUUAACCUUUUUUUUUUGUGUCACUUUUACUUAUAAUUCAAUUCUCAGCUGAAUAUUGGUGUGCUGAUGCUGGUGUUGUUUUUGUUUUCCCAUGAAACAUAUAGGUAGAGAAUUUUAAAGUCCCUUGUCUCCCCUGGUCGAAAUAUGCGUAAAAGGAAUUUUUCCAAUCUUGUUAUUUCUAAUGCAGCUAACUAAUAUGUUGAAACAAAUACACGAUGUAUGAAUUUUCAACAAUUUAUAUUUUUUUUCAAGUAAAUCAGUCUGGCCGUUCCAUCUCCGUAUCCAAUAUAACACAGUGGUGCUGCUGCUGCACUUUAUAUUUUCUCGCUCGCGAAUGCAUGUAGCUACUUCGCAUUAAGAGAAAUUUUUGAAAGAUGUGGUUUGCAAUGUUCGGGGGAGAUUAAAACUUACAUUAACAUGUUAAGAUAUACAGUUUUGUGUCGAGGGUUAGUGUAAAUAUGGGUCUUUAAUUUGGGGUAAUGGUUAUACUGAUGUGGUAUUUUUGGUUUAGGGGAUUCGUCUUUGCUGUUAACUGGAAGUGCGGAUCAGACAGCAAAACUUUGGAAUGUUAAAACAGGGACUCAGCUGUACACUUUCAACUUCGACUCACCAACUAGGUCUGUUGAUUUUGGAGUUGGUGAUAAACUUGCUGUCAUAACAACUGACCCCUUUAUGGGAUUGCCUUCUGCAAUUCAAGUGAAACGAAUUGCCAGAGAUCCUGCUGACCGUGAGUUGAUGUGUUCUUUUGUUGUUACUUGCAAAUGAUGAUCUUAUACUUGGUACUUUUUUUAUUCGGAAUCUUAUCUGGGUCCUGUACUUAUAUUCUGGUUUGAACAUGUCUGUUCUGUUUUUCAAUCUGAAGGGAUGACUUAAUCACCAUUUCUAUGAUGCUAUGUGUACCAGAAAGAAAAGAGCAGGAAAACAAUUUAAUUGUUUACACAUUGACUAAUUUUGGACUUUAAAGAAUUGUAUCGUUCUUUAAUCCGGAUUCCGUGUUAUCUCCAAUUUCCUUCUUCCAUCACAUUAUUUAUUUUGCUUGUAGAUGUGUUGAUUUACUGGAUUGUAAUGGGUUUUAUGUUACUCGGACUCUUCACUUUGUCCCGCCAUACCUGUGUCAGACUCUUCAUUUGCUCUAUAUUACCCAUGUCCACAGGACUCCUCUACCUGGAUCCGAGAAACAUAGAAUGGUUUUAUGCUUCAUCAUUAUGAUGUGAAGCAUCAGUUUGUGCAUCCAUGGACCCACAUGCACUGACAAAUUUGCCCCGAGUUUUCUUGCUGUUUUUUGUGCUCAUAAAGCCAGUUGCAGCUUUUUGAUGGUUUCUCUUUAUUAUGUUUUCCUUGUAGUAAUCAUGUAAAAUGCCCUCACCCUCCCCCACCCAAAAAAAAAUCCCUUAAUUGCUCUAAUUUCUUGACUAACUAGUUGUUUGCCAAAAGUUCUGACAUCAUUCAUUUCGCAGAGUCCGGUGAAUCUAUUCUUGUACUCAAAGGACCUCAGGGAAGAAUUAACAGGGCUGUUUGGGGACCUUUGAACAAGACUAUCAUAAGUGGUGGUGAAGAUUCUGUAAUACGUAUCUGGGAUUCUGAGGUUACACUUUCUUGUUUGACUUUUCUAGCUUUUAGUCACUCUGUCACAAAGAUCUUUUGUGUGCAUCAUUGGGUUUACCGUAGCAUAUUUGUUUUACACUAUUUUGCUGCUUCAUGUCUCUGUUUUUUAUUUAGAUUCUUGUACAUCAUUUAGGCAUGGAUGGAAGUUAGUCUUCUCUUACUUUUUUUUUUUUGGUCCUUAAAUUUUUUUAAUAUCAGACUGGGAAAUUACUCAAAGAGUCUGACAAGGAGGCUGGUCACAAAAAAGGCAUAAC
rnacentral:lncRNA from 1 species